GACAGAGGGUGCAAACGUUGCUCGGAAUCACUGGGCGUAAAGGGCGUGUAGGCGGGUAGAUAAGUCGGGCGUGAAAUCCCUAGGCUCAACCUAGGAACUGCACUCGAAACUGUUUAUCUUGAGUGCCGGAGAGGAAAGCGGAAUUCCUGGUGUAGAGGUGAAAUUCGUAGAUAUCAGGAGGAACACCAGUGGCGAAGGCGGCUUUCUGGACGGUAAC
rnacentral:rRNA from 1 species